GAUGAAGAACGUAGCGAAAUGCGAUAAGUAAUGUGAAUUGCAGCAUUCAGUGAAUCAUCGAAUCUUUGAACGCACAUUGCGCCCGCCAGUAUUCUGGCGGGCAUGCCUGUUCGAGCGUCAUUUCAACCAUCAAGCCCCAGGCUUGUGUUGGGGACCUGCGGCUGCCGCAGGCCCUGAAAACCAGUGGCGGGCUCGCUGUCACACCGGGCGUAGUAGAUUUUAUCUCGCUCAGGGCGUGCUGCGGGUUCCGGCCGUUAAAAAGCCUUUUUUACCCAAGGUUGACCUCGGAUCAGGUAGGAAGACCCGCUGAACUUAAGCAUAUCAAUAAGCGGAGGA
rnacentral:misc_RNA from 1 species